CCUACGGGCGGCAGCAGUGGGGAAUAUUGCACAAUGGGGGGAACCCUGAUGCAGCGACGCCGCGUGAGUGAAGAAGUCUCUCGGUAUGUAAAGCUCCAUUAGCAGGGAAGAAGAUGACGGUACCUGUAUAAGACGCCCCGGCUAACUCCGUGCCAGCAGCCGCGGCAAUACGGAGGGGGCAAGCGUUAUCCGGAUUUACUGGGGGUAAAGGGAGCGUAGACGGCAGGGCAAGUCUGGAGUGAAAGCCCGGGGCCCAACCCCGGGACUGCUUUGGAAACUGCCAUGCUGGAGUGCUGGUGAGGUAAGCGGAAUGCCUGGUGUAGCGGUGAAAUGCGUAGAUAUUAGGAGGAACACCAGUGGCGAAGGCGGCUUACUGGACAGUAACUGACGUUGAGGCUCGAAAGCGUGGGGAGCAAACAGGAUUAGAUACCCCAGUAGUC
rnacentral:rRNA from 1 species